UACGUAGGGGGCAAGCGUUGUCCGGAAUUAUUGGGCGUAAAGAGCUCGUAGGCGGUUUGUCACGUCUGCUGUGAAAACCCGAGGCUCAACCUCGGGCCUGCAGUGGGUACGGGCAGACUAGAGUGCGGUAGGGGAGAUUGGAAUUCCUGGUGUAGCGGUGGAAUGCGCAGAUAUCAGGAGGAACACCAAUGGCGAAGGCAGAUCUCUGGGCCGUAACUGACGCUGAGGAGCGAAAGCAUGGGGAGCGAACAGG
rnacentral:rRNA from 1 species